GUGUGUCUGUGUGUGUGUUUGUGUGUGUCUGUGUGUGUGUGUGUGUUUGUGUGUGUGUGUGUCUGUGUGUGUGUGUGUGUUUUUAGUGUAUCCUGAGCGUAUUUACAAGUGGAGAAAUAUAUCUAUUUCCGGCAGUUAUUGGGACUUAUAAAGAAGGUAUUAAACUUUAAAACAAAACUUUGCUUUUAGCAGAAACAAAACGUGUUUUUCAAGUGCUGUGAGAUGUGUGAAAAGGGUAGCAUUAAUUUAUCAUAGAAUAAGUCGUUUUACCGUGAAAUACUUCCAUUCACUUUAAAUUGUUACCUGAGAUAUAUACAAGCAAGCUCUGCUCAGGUUAAAGUAAAAACUGUUUUAUUGUUUUUCUUUCUUUUCAAUUGUUAAGUUGUGCAGCAUUUUGAGUAAGAUAUUACUAAUGCAGUAAUUCUCUAAUCCCUGCAAACCAUGGAACUUGUAUGGUAAGUAGAGUUCCACAGGAACGGUGCAGCCCUGGAGAAGUCUUGAAGGCGAGCAUCAGAGGUGGGAGUACGGACAGAGGAUAGACGUAAGUUUUAGGCAUAGCGUAAGGGCCUAGACGGGACAUACUUGUGUAUUGGGGGGAUAGGUAGGUUGGAGCAGCAUUAUGUAGGGACUUGUAAGCAAGCACUAGAAUCUUAAAUUGAGCCCUAUAUCUAACUGGAAGCCAAUACAGGGACUGACAGAGGGGGAGGCGUGGGAGGACAGGAAGAUGAGCCUCGCCGCCGCAUUCAUUAUAGACUGUAACGGGGCAAGUUGGUAACAUGUAAGACCCCUGAGAAGAGGAUUGCAGUAGUCGAGAGAGAGGGCAAUGGCAUCGACCAGCACCUUAGCUGCGUCCAGGCGUUGAAUUUACAAGUGUAACAUUAUAUUUUGGGAAUCACUGUCAGGACAUUAACCAGCAGGGUAUUGGCAGCUACUGAGUGACAAUCUGUGUGGUGCUAGUGCUGGGUUUGUGAAAUGCUGUACCACAAUUUAUGACAUAACAGAAACAGAUACUGUGUUUUGUUUUGUUUUUGUUUGUUUUCUAACUGAAUCGGAAGUUGGGAGGAAAAUAAAAUUUCCAUUUUUAAUUGAUCUAUCUAAGCUGAAAACAGUCUAACAGUCAGCCAUUAUUCCAGCUGGGAAAAUUUACAAUCCUCUUAUGAGUUCUUCACUAUUCCCAGUUUAAUGAAUAAAAGCUCAUAUGGGUUUUAUAUUCCAGGAAAGGAAUGGAGAGUACAAUGGUUUGCCUCAAUGAUGCGAAUUCUCGCCAACUAAUCUGUCAGUCAAUAUUUUAUGUUGAACCAUAGUGUGGACACGUUGAAAAGCACUGAAGAGACCAGUCUCAGUUAUAUG